rnacentral:pre_miRNA from 1 species
CGUGUACCGGUGGGGUCCCUUGGCCUGGCCUGUGGGGAUCGGGCCAAAACCAGCUCUCCAACUUCCUCUGAGGGGUCCCAAAUUGUGAGAGGGUGCAGGCCAGGCCAAGGGACCCCAACGGUGCACG